rnacentral:rRNA from 1 species
UACGGAGGGGGCUAGCGUUGUUCGGAAUUACUGGGCGUAAAGCGCACGUAGGCGGCUUUGUAAGUUAGAGGUGAAAGCCCGGGGCUCAACUCCGGAAUUGCCUUUAAGACUGCAUCGCUCGAAUUGUGGAGAGGUAAGUGGAAUUCCGAGUGUAGAGGUGAAAUUUGUAGAUAUUCGGAAGAACACCAGUGGCGAAGGCGACUUACUGGACACAUAUUGACGCUGAGGUGCGAAAGCGUGGGGAGCAAACAGG